UGGUUAAAAAGCUCGUAGUUGGAUCUCAACAGCCUUGAAGCGGUUGACUUUGUAGUUUUACUGCUUUAUAGGCUGCGCUUUUGCUGGAGGUUUAGGGGUGCUCUUGAUCGAGUGUCUCUGGAUGCCAGCAGGUUUACUUUGAAAAAAUUAGAGUGCUCAAAGCAGGCUAAAAUGCCUGAAUAUUCGUGCAUGGAAUAAUAGAAUAGGAUGUCGAUCCUAUUUUGUUGGUUUUCGGGACUCGACAUAAUGAUAAAUAGGGACAGUCGGGGGCAUUUGUAUUCAAACGACAGAGGUGAAAUUCUUGGACCGUUUGAAGACAAACUACUGCGAAAGCAUUUGCCAAGAAUGUUUUCAUUAAUCAAGAACGAAAGUUAGAGGUUCGAAGGCGAUUAGAUACCGCCCUAGUUCUAACCAUAAACGAUGCCAGCUAGCGAUCUGCCUGCGUUUUUACUGUAGACUGGGCAGGAAGCUUCCGGGAAACCAAAGCAUUUGGGUUCCAGGGGAAGUAUGGUUGCAAAGCUGAAACUUAAAGGAAUUGACGGAAGGGCACCACCAGGAGUGGAGCCUGUGGCUUAAUU
rnacentral:rRNA from 1 species